rnacentral:tRNA from 1 species
GCCCUGUUAGCUCAGUGGUAGAGCGCUGCGUUUACACCGCAGAGGUUAUUGGUUCGAGUCCUUUACGGGGUCCCA